GCUGAAGAACGUAGCAAAAUGCGAUAAGUAAUGUGAAUUGCAGAAUUCAGUGAAUCAUCGAAUCUUUGAACGCACAUUGCGCCCGCCAGUAUUCUGGCGGGCAUGCCUGUUCGAGCGUCAUUUCAACCCUCAAGCACAGCUUGGUGUUGGGACUCGCGUUAAUUCGCGUUCCCCAAAUUGAUUGGCGGUCACGUCGAGCUUCCAUAGCGUAGUAGUAAAACCCUCGUUACUGGUAAUCGUCGCGGCCACGCCGUUAAACCCCAACUUCUGAAUGUUGACCUCGGAUCAUGUAGGAAUACCCGCUGAACUUAAGCAUAUCAAUAAGCGGAGGA
rnacentral:misc_RNA from 1 species